rnacentral:rRNA from 1 species
UACGAAGGGUGCAAGCGUUAAUCGGAAUUACUGGGCGUAAAGCGUGCGUAGGCGGUUGCUUAAGUCAGAUGUGAAAGCCCUGGGCUCAACCUGGGAAUGGCAUUUGAAACUGGGCAGCUAGAGUGUGAUAGAGGAUGGCGGAAUUCCCGGUGUAGCGGUGAAAUGCGUAGAGAUCGGGAGGAACACCAGUGGCGAAGGCGACUACCUGGCCUGUUUCUUGACGCUGAGGCGCGAAAGCUAGGGGAGCGAACGGG